AUUUGUAACAAAGCCCACUCUUACCACGAGAGAAAGAAAGCAGAACCUUGGUUCGCACUGCACAAUGUGCAACUGCAGUUAUUCUAUUCUUUUCCAAUGUUCAAGUAACCCUCAUAUGCGCUCUUAGCGUAAGUUAUGCAGUCUUGGUUUUGCAUGCUUCGUUCAGAAAACAAUCUACGCGAAGUGACAGAAACAGGAGGAGCAGUAAAAGAUGAGGAGAAACAAUGAAGUGUUGAAGAUUACUGUCAGUACAUUGUAGCUGGCCAGACUGCCCAGACCAUAUCUGCUUGCUGAACCUAUUAGCUAUAUGUCCUGCAGAUACUAGUGUCCAAUUUUAUCAAAUCACAAACUAGGUUCGAUUCAUCUGUUCUUUUCUACCUCUCUCUUCUCACGGGUACUCAGUUAUCGACUAGUUUAUCUUUUGGGAAGGAUAUGUAUUGGCCAUUACUAGAACUGAUUAUGUGGGAUUUGGGACCCAACAUUUGUGAUUCACUUUUGUUUUGAUUAAUUUAUAGAUGUGUUAUGCCCAAAUAUAUGAA